rnacentral:rRNA from 1 species
UACGUAGGGUGCAAGCGUUAAUCGGAAUUACUGGGCGUAAAGCGCGCGUAGGCGGCUUUGCAAGUCGGGUGUGAAAUCCCCAGGCUUAACCUGGGAACUGCAUUCGAGACUGCAUUGCUAGAGUAUGGGAGAGGGGAGUGGAAUUUCCGGUGUAGCGGUGAAAUGCGUAGAUAUCGGAAGGAACAUCAGUGGACGAAAGCGACGUUCCUGGACCAAUACUGACGCUCAUGUGCGAAAGCGUGGGGAGCAAACAGG